UAGGUUACAUGCGGUGCAGUAU
rnacentral:miRNA from 1 species